UACAGAGGGUGCAAGCGUUGUUCGGAAUUACUGGGCGUAAAGGGCGCGUAGGCGGCCUGUUAAGUCGAACGUGAAAUCCCCGGGCUCAACCCGGGAACUGCGUCCGAUACUGGCAGGCUUGAAUCCGGGAGAGGGAUGCGGAAUUCCAGGUGUAGCGGUGAAAUGCGUAGAUAUCUGGAGGAACACCGGUGGCGAAGGCGGGUCUCUGGGCCGAUACUGACGCUGAGGAGCGAAAGCGUGGGGAGCGAACAGG
rnacentral:rRNA from 1 species